ACGUAUGGGGCGAGCGUUGUUCGGAAUCAUUGGGCGUAAAGGGCGCGCAGGCGGUUAUACAAGCUUGGUGUGAAAUACUGCAGCUCAACUGCGGAACCGCACUGGGAACUGUAUGACUGGAGUUCAAGAGGGGAAGCUGGAAUUCCUGGUGUAGGGGUGAAAUCUGUAGAUAUCAGGAAGAACAUCAGUGGCGAAGGCGAGCUUCUGGCUAUGAACUGACGCUGAGGCGCGAAAGCGUGGGGAGCAAACAGG
rnacentral:rRNA from 1 species